rnacentral:tRNA from 1 species
GGUAGCAUGGCCGAGCAGUCUAAGGCGCUUGCUUUAAGGCACCAGUCAUUUCGAUGGCGUGGGUUCGAAUCCCACUGCUGCCA